UAUGUUGAGGUUCUGGAAGCUUCACAUCAUAGAGCAGGGGCUGGGCACUUUGAGAGUGCAGACACCUGACGAGGGUAAGGACUGUGGGGGUGCUUUGCCAGAAUGACCCAAUUCAUUCUGCUUUGUGGAGAGUUCCAGGGUUGCUGGUCCAAGAUUCCUGUCCACAGCCUCUUACAGGCAUCCCCUGGCACCUGGCAACAGGUGUGUGACUGGGCUUCCUCCCAUCCCCUAGGCUGGACCACACUCCGGCUUGCUGUUGACAGUAGCAGCGAACGCUGCUUCCGGUUAUCGAGCAUCGGCUUUGCUCCGGUGGCUGUGCUAAGCACAUGCAUUAGUACAGUAUCUUUUUUAAUCUUCACAGCAAACCAAUAAGUUAGCUACUGUUACUACCGUCAUUUUACAGAUGAGGAAGGGGAGGGCGAGGGAGCUGACGGGGCUUCGAGUUAGGAAAGGUCACUGAGCUCCUAGCUACCCAGUGUUUGGCCCUUGGCGAGCCCAAGCUUGGGAUCAGGGCACAUGCUGCUUCCUGAUGGUUCCACUGCUCUCUGGGGGCUGGGAUUUUAUUUUAUUUUAUGUUUGCAAUGGAACAGACAUCUCUGGACUGGAGAUACUUCUCGAGACAUGCACACCUGCUGGUCCUUCUAUUCCUUCCUCGCCUGGCUUGCUCUGGGGUCAGUCUCUGCUCUGGACUCUGCCGAGCACCUGGGUCAGGUCCUGAUUCGUGCUUGUCAUGGUUUUUAUUCUUCCAGCCGGAAGUGUCUUAGCUGCCCGAGCCCCUCUGCUCAGCUUUCGUCCAUCUGCAUUUGUCCUGGCCUCCUUCUCUUCGCUCCCGGUCAGCGCAGAUUGGCCCCCGGUCCCCCUGCACGAUCCCAGGGCGCUGCCCAUAACCUGGGCACUCCCCGCCAGAGUGGUGUCUCCUGCCCAGCCCAGGCCUUGAAGCUGUGCUCUUCUGACGAGAAAUAAGGAAGGGGAUUGGCUCCUGAAUUCAUGCAGGGGCUCUGGCCCCACUGUGCAGUUCAGAGGCCCUGCUCACACCUGCACUUCGGUGGAAGAGUGGACCCAGAUUCACUUCCGGGGACGAGGCCACGGGCUCAGGUCUUCUCGGAACCACGCCAUUUGCAGGUACAUUUCACGGCAACGCGUUUUACCCCACAGAUGACCUUUAUUGGUCCCACAGGCGUGAGCCGAGCCCCAGGGUCACAAAUCCCGCAAUCACGAUACUUGAAGGCUCCCCAGAUGGAGAGAAGACAGCUACCAGCUGUAACCGGAGCUGAGGGGAACAGGGGAAGGGGCAGAGCUGGGGAACUGGCUGCCUCCCCAGAAGCCUGGAACCAUCACGCCACAUGAGCAGGCAUCCCGUGGUCUGACACUGAGGCCGCCAGCCGUGACCCCGCCAGCACCAGCGCGAAGCUGGGAAAGAACACAGGCUGCUUCUGCUCCAAGUGAGCUGGAAUCCUGGUUCCUCGCUGGACUGGCUGUGAGAUUUUCAGCACGUUGCUUGACCUCUCUGAGCUUUUUCUGGAACAUGGGGCUCACUCAUAUCCCCUGCCUCCCAGGACGGUCAAAAGCACUCAGUGGGGCAUUGUGUAUAAAGACCUCGCAAAGCACAUAGAAGGCGGAGCUCUUAUUGCUCUGCCCUGCUCCCCCCACCAGAUAAUGAAGAGUCCUGCCAAAGCCUCCGGGGCAUGGGGCGGGGGCAACUGUCGAAUGCCAGGGGCACGCAUUUUAACAAGGAUAGGACAUCAGGAGAAGUCUGGAGUGAGGGACCCAGCAGGAUGAGGGUGGGGCAGGCGUGGGGCGGACUCACCCACACAGAGGAGGAGGGCUGGAAGGAAACAAGGGCAUUAAGAAUAAACAUGACCUUGGCCUAUAGCGAGACCCCCA
rnacentral:lncRNA from 1 species